UCCUUCCCCGAUUUCCUCACUCACGUUGUGAAAUCCCACGGAGAAGGGCGCGUCAACUUACACUGAUAUUACAAACAAGUUCCUUUGAAGUUGAAGAAACAAAUAUACGAUGUCUUCAAGUUUGACAUGAUGGUGUUUGACUAUCAGCUGCCUAAUGACUUCUGGGAUACCGUGUGAUCACGGCUCUCACACCUUAGGAGUAGGAUAGAAGAAGGGGA